CAAACACAGGCUUUAACAAGAUGGCGUCUGACGGUUAAGACGUUAUUGCAGGCGUCACAGUUCAGUGUUCUUAAUCUGUGCUGCCAUGUACACAUAUAUGUCCUUUAUUAGAUUCUAGUAAAUAGAGUAAACAUCGUCAAUAACUGUUUGCAUCCGGUUAUAUUAGUCUGAGCGCACUUUGAUUCUUCUCGGGCUAGCAUAGCUUGCUAGUUAGCUUAGCUUGUUAUUUGCUAACAAAGAGAGGCGGAAGUGAUCAAAACACAUCGCUAAGCAGAGAUGAAGUGUGAGUGUAAAGUGUUGUGAUUGUGUGAAAAUGUGCGAAAGAACAAUAGCAGAGUACGAGGAGGAACUUUGUCCAACACAAGAGGAGAAGGAGCGACAACAACAAAAACAUCAAGUUGUGUUACACAGAACAGACAUCCAUCAGCUGAUUGAACACCAAGAAGAAUGUCUCCCUCAUCUACAGGGGGGGCAGUUUCACUUUAGAGGAUCCACAGCCCUCACAUUUUAAAGAGGAAGAGGGGGGAGAGUGUCCUGUAGGGCAGGAGGAGGCGGAUCUCAGCAAGUUUCCAGUGACUGUUGUCUUUGUGAAGACUGAAGAGCAUGAAGACAAACCACCUGAGUCCUCACAGCGUCAUCACAGUCCAACAGACGUUGAAGAAGAACCUCUAACCCAUGAGCAGGAGAAACCAAAGUCCCCUCACAUACACAAGGAAGAAGAGGUACAACAAUACCAACACAUUAAAGAGGGAAGAGAGGAGCCACAGCCCCCCCACAUUAAAGAGGAAGACGAGACGCCACAGAUCCAUAAUGUUAAACUGACCCUUCACAUUAAAGGGCAAACGGAGGACCCACUGAUCUUACACAGCAAAAAUGAAGAAGAGGACCCACUGACCCCUCACAUUAAAGAGAAACAGGAGGACCCACUUUCCCCCUGCUUUAAAGAGGAAGAGGAGGACCAAGAGCCGCCGCAAAUUAAAAAGGAAGAGGAGGAACACACCAUCAGUCAGCCUAAAUGGUUGGAGGAGUUCCCAGUGACUGGUGUCCCUGUGAAGAGUGAAGAUGAUGAGGUCAAAGGUGAGAGUGAGGAAAGGGGAGGGGGGGAGCCUCCAAGCAGCAGCUCAACACAACACAUGACAACAGAAGCUGAUGGAGACCACUGUGGAGGAUCACAAGCAGACAAGCUCUUAGCUCCACUAUCAGAUAGUGAGGACACAACGUCACACUCUCCUGACACUGAUGAUGAAGACUCUAAAGAUGAUAAGACAUGUCACACUGACAACACACGCUUCACAUGUUCUCUCUGUGACAAAACCUUUAAAUACCACAGUCAUCUCAAAACACACAUGAAAAUACACACUGGAGAAAAACAUAUUCCCUGUUCAAUCUGUGGUAAAGGUUUUGUACAAAGUCCCCAUUUAAAAGUACACAUGAGAACACACACUGGUGAAAAACAUUUUUCUUGCUCAGUAUGUGGUAAAGGUUUUACACAAAGUCAAUAUAUGAAAGUACACAUGAGAACACACACUGGUGAAAAACAUUUUUCCUGUUCAAUCUGUGGUAAAAGUUUUGUAGAAAGUCGCAAUUUGAAAAGACACAUGAGAACACACACUGGUAAAAAACAUUUUGUUUGUUCAGUCUGUGGUAAAGGUUUUACACAAAGUCAGAAUUUAAAAGAACACAUGAGAACACACACUGGUGAAAAACCUUUUGUCUGUUCAAUCUGUGGUAAAGGUUUUAAAGAAAGUCGACAUUUGAAAAUACACAUGAGAAUACACACUGGUGAAAAACCUUUUAUCCGUUCAAUCUGUGGCAAAAGUUUUGUACAAAGUCCCCAUUUGAAAGUACACAUGAGAACACACUGGUGAAAAACCUUUUUCUUCCUCAGUAUGUGGUAAAGCUUUUGUUCUAAGUAAACAUUUGAAAGUACACAUGAGAACACACACGGGUGAAAAACCUUUUGUCUGUUCAAUCUGUGGUAAAGGUUUUACACAAAAUCAGAAUUUAAAAGAACACAUGAUAAAACACACUGGUGAAAAAACCUUUUUCCUGUUCAACCUGUGGUAAAGGUUUUACACAAAAUCAGAAUUUGACAAAACACGCUAGAACACACCCCUGUUAAAAAUCACAUUCCUGUUUAAUCUGCAACAUAAGUUUUUUUCAUCGAUAAACACAUGAGAAGACACCCAGGAGAGAAAAUGUUGAGUUGCAGUGUGUGUGGUGAAAGAUUCUCUUCUAAGUACCAGUGUAAGAAACACAAGUGUGCUGGUGAGAACAGCAGCAGCAAAUGAAAUUGCAGGAUUUUAAAUAAACUGUCAAGACUUUCAUUUUGACUUUCUAACAACAUCAGCACAUAUAACAUGUAUGACAUUAUUGUUUGUUUAACAAUCUGUUUAAUAUGCUUCUACAUUUAUGGAUUAGAUAUUUUAUAUUAGUGCUUUUUUCAGUCAAGCACAUGCAUUAAUAUGCAACAUUGUGUACUUUUGUUAAAAAAUGGACAGAACAAUUUGAGUAAAAAGGUGAGAGUAAACAAUAAAACACAUAUUUUUUACAUGCAAUAAACAUGUUGUGUGUAUGUUCACACACACACACACACAUAUAUAUAAAUGUGUGUGUGUAUAUAUAUAUAUAUAUAUAUAUAUAUAUAUAUAUAUAUUCGUCAUUAAAUUUUAGACUUAUUCAUAUGAAGUAUUGAAGUAUAACAUAUCUAAUUUCUAAUUGUUAAUAAUCCCAUAGAUUAGCACUUUUAUACGUUAUACAUAUUUACUGGUUCACAUCUGAAACAUCUUCUGGACCACUUCAGGAAGCAUAUUAUUAUUUACUUUAUACAUCAUUUGAACAGUUGUCCUUUGUACAAUUUUAAAAUGUGGAACUUUUUGAAUCAUCCGUUGGGUCUCUUUAAUCUAUUUUAUUCAUCAUUGUUAUUACUCUGUAUUAUGAUGAUUGUGUUGUGAUUGUUUUAUCUGUAUGUCCCCAGACCUUUAUGCACUAUAAAAGUGAGAAAAAUGGCAAAAAAAAAAAAAAAGUUCUGAAAGGAUGGUUUUGUUCUUACAAACUUACAUUUGUGCAUAUACCAAAUAAAUCCAGUAUUGUGUUUUAAA